rnacentral:rRNA from 1 species
CCAGGUUUGACAUGCAGUAGACAGGUCUAGAGAUAGACUCUUCCUUCGGGACUGCUGCACAGGUGCUGCAUGGCUGUCGUCAGCUCGUGCCGUGAGGUGUUGGGUUAAGUCCCGCAACGAGCGCAACCCUUAUCAUUAGUUGCCAACAUUUAAGGUGGGAACUCUAAUGAGACUGCCUGGGUUAACCAGGAGGAAGGUGAGGAUGAUGUCAAGUCCGCAUGGCCCUUAUGUCCAGGGCUACACACGUGCUACAAUGGCCGGUACAAACCGUCGCAAACCCGUGAGGGGGAGCUAAUCGGAAAAAGCCGGCCUCAGUUCGGAUUGUAGUCUGCAACUCGACUACAUGAAGCUGGAAUCGCUAGUAAUCGCGGAUCAGAACGCCGCGGUGAAUACGUUCCC